rnacentral:rRNA from 1 species
CAGCCGCCACGGGAAUACGUAGGUGGCAAGCGUUGUCCGGAAUUAUUGGGCGUAAAGGGCUCGCAGGCGGUUUCUUAAGUCUGAUGUGAAAGCCCCCGGCUCAACCAGGGAGGGUCACUGGAAACUGGGAAACUUGAGUGCAGAAGAGGAGAGUGGAAUUCCGCGUGUAGCGGUGAAAUGCGUAGAGAUGUGGAGGAACACCAGUGGCGAAGGCGACUCUCUGGUCUGUAACUGACGCUGAGGAGCGAAAGCGUGGGGAGCGAACAGGAUUAGAUACCCCAGUAGUCCCUGUCUCUUAUAC